UAGAUGUGUUUGCAAAUAAGUUGCCCA
rnacentral:piRNA from 1 species